CACCAGAAUACAGCAGAGUGGAGGGGGGGGGGAUGUGAGCAGAGUGUACAGAAGCCUCUCUGUUUCCACAUUCAGAGAUGCUCUCUCUGCAGUAUACUGCACAGCCAAAACUGUUACCGUGCUCCCUGUCCUCUCCUUUAAAAAAAAAGAAGAAAAAAGUAGCAGGCGAGAGACAUGGCGAAAAUAUAAAGGGGAAGAGAUGUGAUGCAGCUGCUCUCAUGCUCUCCAUCUUGUCUCUCUCAUUAUUCUGCAGAACGUUAUAAACAAAACAACCAUAAAAAUUCUCUGACAGGAACAUGAGAAGCAUGAUGAGCAGAUUUGCACUCCCCAGUGUUACAUAACAGAUCUCUCCCUCUCCUUCUCUCUCCCCCACCAUCUCUCCCUCGGCCUCUCUCUGUCUUUUUGUACUGUACCUCUCUUUUUCCUUCUUGGACAUGGAGCUUUGUGCUCUAUAAGUGGCUAACUUAUAGGUGGGAAAGUGGAGAAGAGACGCUUGUUCGUGUGGUUGAUGCACAAAGUAAACUCAGGUUUGUUGUCAUUAACACAGCCACCUUCCCUCAGGUAAACCUUACAUAAAAGAAACCAGAGAGUGAUGCUUUCCUCUCAAAUUAGCUGAGAGUCCGGCCUGUUUUUGUAUUGUAAAUCUAUGAUGAUGAUGAUAAAAGCCUCAGCGCUGGCGUCAGUGCAGCAGCAACGCCACCUAACAUCAUUCUCCUUUUCCUUUUUUUUUUCUUUUCCUUUUUCGCCUACAGCUCCCGGGGCUGUUUCAGCAUUAGAAAUUAUUGAUGUCUUUACUGCCUAGAUAAAAGUGUUUGACAAAAAUUGUGGGUAGUUAUGGUUCCACUGAAACUAUUAUAUGAGCAAGACAGGAUUGUGGCUCUUUGGGACACGGACUAAGUAUGUGUGUACACGUUUUUUUGUUUUUUUUGUUCACCGUAAGAUGUUUUUAAGUUCAUCUGCAGAAUGCCGGAUAUCCUCCAACUCUGUGUCAGCCAUUUUCACUGCUUUCAGCAUGACUCAGAAGGCCUUCCCGGGGGCUGCUGUCCGACUGAUGGGGGGAGCAGCAGGCAUGAUUUUGUGGAAAAGCAGAAAGAGGUAAAAUGAGCUGCUGACUGUCUGCUCGUCACUAACAUCACUGCAUCAACUAGAGGCUCAGAGUACCUAUAGAUUUGCCAUUAUUAGUGCUGUAAAUACACUGUGGAAAAGAUGAUGUAACUGAGCAUUGUGUUUCUAUAUAAAAAAAAAUUAAAACAACCCUUAUCCAGUCAACUCAUAAAACUGGCUAUAAAGAUGCAGCCUAUGGGGUAUACAAGUCUCCAUGUUCAUAAGUGGAAACUCACUGCAUCUUGGCAACAUCCCUCCUUAGCAACAAAAUGAAUAAGUGCAUUCCCACAUAUAGCCUUUAAAACAUACAGUAUAUAGUUUUGCUCUAUUGCUUUGAUGAAAAAAAGGAUUAUCUCUUAAAAGAUCAGGUUAAUCUAAACUACAUAUUUAGAAUUGCUCUAUUACACCACUGCGAGACUUACACUACCUCUCAGCAUCACGGUUACUCCGUAAUGUCCAUGUUUUUGAAAGAAAAGCAAAUUGUUCUAAUAUAACAAUUAAUAACUGAUGGAAUUAGAACUACAAAUCCUUGAUUUAAUGAUUUUAUUGGAAUAUCUAUAAAAGCCUGUUUGUUCUGUUGAUAUUUUAUGUUACCUGCUUUAUGUUUAUCCAAUGUAAAGGUUGAUUUAUCACUAAAAAGAACUUUUCUCAUUUACGAUAACUCCACUGAGAACUGUCUGGAGCUUGAGCCCCUGUGGGGUUGAUUAUAGUCUCACAAUCAACCUGAAAAAGUAAAUUUGGUCUUUUUCCAAGUGAAUGAAGAUUAUACCACACAAGAAAUUGUGCCCAAAAGAAAAUUCACACAAAGGAGUGUACUACUGUCUUUCAAACCACUACAAUCUGGCACUUUAAUGAAGCUGCCAGUUGAGGACCUGUGAGGUGUUUGUUUCUCAGGCUAAAGACUCAGCUGCUCAGAUCUCCACUUCUCUUUUUAUUCAGGUUAAAAACCGUGUGUCCUGUUCUGUGUAGGAAGUAGUACACACCAGAGGUUUUAUGUCAGGGUCCCACAUGAAUAGCCUUCAUUUCUCACAUCAAGAAUAAUGAUGACUGUUCUACAAAAAUGUGGGGUUUUUAAAACUACAGUGUAAGCACAGGGGCUGAUUUCUCACACACUCACUCACUAAAUGUGUUCCCUCUUAUAUUAGUGUGAGUGUAAUGUUUUCAACAAUAUAAACUUGCAUUAGAUGAUGAAAGUGCCAUUAGUGUCACGAUUGCUAAAAAUGCCACUCACAUAUGCAUUAAAAAUCAUGAUUAAUAAUUCCAUUUAUCAGUUUUUGUUAUUUCUGAUCGAUUUAAUGUAAAAAGUAGUUUUCUUUUAAAAGCAAGACAUUUGUAAUUGACCCCAAAGAUUUAAGCAUUAGUCACUUUUAAAAGGCAUCAAAAUAGGUGGUUCAGAUUUAGAAAUGGCUUCUUUACAUUCAUCUUUCUUAACACUAUCUGGUGACUGCAUUACCCACAGUAAACCCCAGCCACACUGGCUCUUAACAGUAAAUGUAGCUUGUAACCAUUAUCCCACAGAGCUUAGGAGCUAGCUAAAGAGGAUUCAUUCUGUUCUCACCCCAAUGAAAUUUGUUCAUUUUCGAGUCAUUUAUCAGGCCCUCUGGUGGAAAGAUCAGUAGGGUUCCCCUUUAAAGAAGUUAUAUACAGCUUUUCUACAUUUUAAUAUGAAAA